GCCGAGCUACGUGAACAAAUACAGCAUAACUGUAAAGCACUAUAAUCAUUAAUAUGAUUUGUAAUUACUCUAAAAUAAUACACGGCUCCGUGUUGUUAUGUGUUGACUUAGAAGACACCUAUAUUUAUUUCUUGUCUGCUCAGAUUAAUUGUAAAUCCUAACGUUUUCAGGUGUGACUAACGGGGGAUCCGCUCCGUCCUUCUUACCGGCCGGUGCCGUAGCCCCGCCCACCUUCAAUCGCUCUCUCUCCGUACGGGACCGCAAUGAUUUAAAAGUUCAGGAAUCCCACGUGACGUCACCGCGGGGGUGAUGUAAUGCUUCUGUAAAUAGAACGUAUUGUAAUCUCGCUCCAGUCCAACGUGGUUCCUCCGCGGAGCGCCGCUCGUCCCGCACUGCUUGUAGGUAAGUCUCCGCAGUUAACUUUCAUUCACAAAACUUUCGGCUCCGCGGCCGCCGCGCUCCGCACGCGGAGCCGCAGCCCGCCGGCGCCGGGUUCCGCCAGCGUCUCGCGUCUCUCGAUGGCACCAGACAGUAAAGGGGGGACGUUUUUGGCUAGCUGUCUCGGUGAAGUCCCAUCACCCGGCGGACGGCUUGUGUGUGACAUGAAUGACAAACAGGACAGGCCAUAUGUGUGCGGCGCCCCGGGCUGCUCUCAGAGCUUCCACCUGGAGGAGCAUCUGAUCGUCCACAGCCACAAGCAUGAGAUGACGCUCAAGUUCCCCUCCAUCAAGAUGGACACGGCUUUUACAGGUGAGACUAGGGAGAGCUCUGUGUCCACAUCAGCACCCGCUCAGUAUCGUACGGCCUGAAUUAUAGAGGGAUAUAUAUUUUAUACAAU
rnacentral:lncRNA from 1 species